ensembl:Y_RNA Y_RNA Y RNA
GGCUGGUCCGAGUGCAGCGGUGUUUACAACUAAUCACUGACAACCAGUUACAGAUUUUGUUCCUUCUCCACUCCCACUGCUUCUUCACUUGACCAGCCUUUA